rnacentral:rRNA from 2 species
CUAUACAUGCAAGUCGAGCGGAUCUUCAUUAGCUUGCUUUUGAAGAUCAGCGGCGGACGGGUGAGUAACACGUGGGCAACCUGCCUGUAAGACUGGGAUAACUUCGGGAAACCGGAGCUAAUACCGGAUAAUCCUUUCCCUCACAUGAGGGAAAGCUGAAAGACGGUUUCGGCUGUCACUUACAGAUGGGCCCGCGGCGCAUUAGCUAGUUGGUGAGGUAACGGCUCACCAAGGCAACGAUGCGUAGCCGACCUGAGAGGGUGAUCGGCCACACUGGGACUGAGACACGGCCCAGACUCCUACGGGAGGCAGCAGUAGGGAAUCUUCCGCAAUGGACGAAAGUCUGACGGAGCAACGCCGCGUGAACGAUGAAGGCCUUCGGGUCGUAAAGUUCUGUUGUCAGGGAAGAACAAGUACCGGAGUAACUGCCGGUACCUUGACGGUACCUGACCAGAAAGCCACGGCUAACUACGUGCCAGCAGCCGCGGUAAUACGUAGGUGGCAAGCGUUGUCCGGAAUUAUUGGGCGUAAAGCGCGCGCAGGCGGUUCCUUAAGUCUGAUGUGAAAGCCCCCGGCUCAACCGGGGAGGGUCAUUGGAAACUGGGGAACUUGAGUGCAGAAGAGGAGAGCGGAAUUCCACGUGUAGCGGUGAAAUGCGUAGAGAUGUGGAGGAACACCAGUGGCGAAGGCGGCUCUCUGGUCUGUAACUGACGCUGAGGCGCGAAAGCGUGGGGAGCGAACAGGAUUAGAUACCCUGGUAGUCCACGCCGUAAACGAUGAGUGCUAAGUGUUAGAGGGUUUCCGCCCUUUAGUGCUGCAGCAAACGCAUUAAGCACUCCGCCUGGGGAGUACGGCCGCAAGGCUGAAACUCAAAGG